GACUUAAUACUUUGGAAGUACUGGACCUUGAACGUCCUAUUAAGAUGUUCGACUCAUCUUUAAGUCU
rnacentral:tRNA from 1 species